GCCAGCGUAGUUCAGUGGCUUGAGUGUUGGACUAGGACUCUGAGACCAGGGUUCGAAUCCUUGCUCAGCCA